UACGUAGGGGCUAGCGUUGUCCGGAAUCAUUGGGCGUAAAGCGCGUGUAGGCGGUUCGGUAAGUCCGCUGUGAAAGUCGAGGGCUCAACCCUCGAAAGCCGGUGGAUACUGUCGGGCUAGAGUACGGAAGAGGCGAGUGGAAUUCCUGGUGUAGCGGUGAAAUGCGCAGAUAUCAGGAGGAACACCGAUGGCGAAGGCAGUCCCCUGGCCUGUACUGACGCUCAUGCACGAAAGCGUGGGGAGCAAACAGG
rnacentral:rRNA from 1 species